rnacentral:tRNA from 1 species
GCCUUUUUGGUGUAACUGGCAGCACCCUUGACUCGUAUUCGGGAGGUCCGGUGUUCGAAUCCCGGAGAGGGCA